CACAUACAGUAUGUUGUGCUUCAUCCAUGUCAUUGCACUCACCUAUAACACAUUUAUUUUAUUGUCUUUUUCCCGCAGCAAACAGUUUAAUGUAAACACUCUGUACAUGGGCCUGUGAGACAGGCCUACCACCUACGUCCAGGAAACCCCAGGACAGGGCACCCUGCAGCCCACGUCCAGCCUCCCACCCUCAGGGUCACUCAGGAAAGGAAGAGCAAAGUGCAUCAUGUUCAUAAAGAAAAACAGCCUCGGGUGGGCCCAGGCCAGAGAGCCUCCAAGUUGGUGUUUGUCUGGUGGCUGCUGGGCUCACAAAUCCUCCUUAGCUUGGGCGAGACAUGCAAUGAUGCCGGCCAGGUCAGCGGCCUUGUCCAGCUUGAGGACAGGGGCAGCCAAGACCUGGAGCUGGAAACCGCAUCUGCCCACAGCCACAGCCUCCUGCACCUGUCAUCCUGGUGGGAUGCUGGCAUCGGACAAGCAGCAGGCGCCGAGCUCCUGCAGCGGGCACCGCUACAGCCACGUGUCCUGGCGCAGGCGGCAAUGGAAGGCGGCCUCCCGGCGCUGCUCCCGAGGCCCCAGGACCAGGGGUGUGGCCAGCAAGGCCUUCACGCCCCGCGUCUGUUCGACAUCGUCCUCUCGAGGUGGCUGGACGGGAGCAAGGCUCGCAGCAGGACGCGACUGCAGGGCUCAGGAUCCCGUACUCUGGCGCUGCAGCACCGUGCCUUUCAGCAACCGCUGGAACUCCUGCAUCAGCGCUUCUCUCGGGUGGGAUGCUGGGGCCCGGGGGUCCUGGCGGGGCGAACUUCAGCUUCUUGUCUUGGUCUCUGCUUUUAUUGAUGUUAAACCUUUGUCACUGUGCCGGGAAAAGCAUCCAGGCGUCCCUGAUGUCCACACUGCGUGGGCGCUCAGUCGGACUCAGCCAACGGGCGGCUCUCCCCAGGGCUUGCCGGCAGCUUGUUCCCGGAGGGCGGCUCCUCUUGGAAGCAGCUCCUCCUGGAAGCAGCUCCUUGUGGGCGCACCAGGCUCAGGGGAGCCAAGGCCCGCCGCGGUCAGCAGGUCUGUGGAGGGGAAGGGUAAAGCGGGCUCUGCUGGGCUGCAUACCAGGACCAUGCGAGUGGCGGGUCAGUCUGGUCUCCAAGCACAGCCUCUCGGGAUUCCCCGGGUCCCAUGGCUUAUAAUGCUCUUGAAUCCCACACCUUCCCCGGGAGACAGCAUGUCACCAUCACCGCCCAGCGCCCCCUGAUCUGUUCCCACUGGUUCUGCAGCGGAGGGUGUGUGGGGGAGAGAGGGCCUCAGGGGAAGGAAAAGCGUGGGGUGGGCGAAUAUCUUCAUAAGCUUUUUCCCAUCUGUAUGCCAUCUCUGAUGGGUGCCUUUUUAGAUCUUCUGUCCAUUUAUUAAUCGGGUUGUUUGAUUUCUUAUUGCUGAGUUGUAAGUGGUUUUUAAUGGCCUGGAGGCCAGACCGGUGUUUUGCAAAUAUUUUCUAGCUGUCUGUGGCUUGUUUCUCUAUUCUCUUAACAUUUCCUUUCCCAGAGCAAAAGUUUUUAAUUGUAACAAAGUCAUACCGGUAUCGUCUUUCAUGGUAGAAAUUUGUCUUGUAUGUACUUUAGUGUUGCAUCUGCAAAGUAAUGCCAAACCCAAAGUUACCUAAAUAUCUAUCCCUUUUGUUAUUUUACAAAAGUUUUACAGCUUUUUUAUUUAAAUUUAGGUCUAAAAAUUGAAUUCGUAAAAGUAGAGAGUAGAGGCCGGGCACGGUGGCUCACGCCUGUAAUCCCAGCACUUUGGGAGGCCCAGGCGGGCAGAUCAUGAGGUCAGGAGAUUGAGGGGAUCCUGGCUAACACGGUGAAACCCCGUCUCUACUAAAAAUACAAAAAAUUUUCCGGAUGUGAUGGCACACGCUUGUAGUCCCAGCUACUCAGGAGGCUGAGGCAGGAGAAUCACUUGAACCCUAGAGGCAGAGGCCUCAGUGAGCAGAGAUUGCGCCACUGCACUUCACCCUGGGUGACAGAGCGAGACUCCGUCUCAAAAGAUAGUAGAGAGUAGAAUGAUUAUUAUGGGAGGCUGUGUUGCAGGGUAGAAAAUGGGAAGUUGUUCACAGGUGCAAAGAUUCAGUUAAAGCAGGAGACAUACGCUUUUAAAUCUAUUGCACAGCAGGAUGACUAUAGUCAAUAAUAAUGUAUGUAUUGCAUAUUUCAAAAUAACAAAAAGUAAAUUUCAAAUGUCCAACCACAAAAAAUAAAAUGGAG
rnacentral:lncRNA from 1 species